rnacentral:tRNA from 2 species
UGGAGAUAAGCGGACUCGAACCGCUGACAUCCGCCACAACUGAGCUAUAUCCCC